rnacentral:lncRNA from 1 species
AGGACACUUGGCUGAAGAAUGGCUUGCAGGCAUGGACUGGCAGAAGUGAUGUUUGUAAUGCAAGGAAUAUAUCCAGAAUGCCACAUUGCUGUGCUGGGAGCAUGAGUUCAGCUCAUGGCUCCCUGCUGCACUGCGCAUCACUGACCUGUGCGACCCGCCUUUGGCAAGACACAGUGCUCUGCGUGCCUCUGCUCAGGAAUAGAGAGAAAAGCUGCUGGAAAUUCAUUAUUUAUGCUUAGAUGCUUCCUCCUUGUCCAGACACUUCUCAGUGAUGAAAUACCUUGAUGAUUUUGAAAGAAAACGUUUCCAUUCCAAUGAAUAAGCAUCUUAGUAUUAAUCUAAUUUAAUUUUUAUGGAGUAUAAUGGAUCAUUUUAUGUGACCAUACUGCACAUGCAAUACAAUGAGGUUGUUAAUGUUUAAAAUAUAAAAGAAAGUCAAAAGUGAAAGAUGGAGAAAUGAUUUUCCUCAUGAUGCCAUCAAAAUACAGGAAAUGACCUAAGGUCAGGUAUCAGGAUGAUGCUGUGUGGAUUCCUUUUCAAAAGAAGUGUGGCCAACCUUCCUUGGAGGGAUGUGGAUUUUAAGAAAGAGCAACCAUAUAAAAACAAAUAUAAAAAUAUAUCAAUAUAUUAAAAAGUAUCAAAUUUUCACAAACUGAUACCCUGGCUUGGACUUUCAGUAUACAGUAAAAGGAGGUAACCUGGAUGCAGGCAGAACUGCUGUUGCUCUCCUGCACCUUCACCUUCUCCAGAAGUUUAGUCUAGAUUUAAAAAUGUGUUUGUAAGGUACUGUUGGGAUGCUUAGGUUAAUGAUUCUGCUGGUUUACAUGUUGCAAAAUUAAUCAUGUUGAGUUAACAGUGCACUUAAACUUCUUCGGCAUUAUUUGAAUUUGAUUUCACACUACUGAGCUGAUGGUCUUGUGACACAAUAGAACAUACAUCAUUUCCAUGUGGGUGCUGUGUGCACAGUGGAGGGAUAGCUCAGUCUUGAUAUAUUUGUACUGUGAAAAGAAAGAGUUGACUUGAUGGGAAAUGGAGAGCUGAUAUUCUUAAUCCAACCCCCUUCAGCUAUCGUGAAAAAUACUGGAAAAAAAUAAAAAAAUCAGACAAAAGCA